rnacentral:lncRNA from 1 species
AUCAGGAACCAUGGCUCACUGGAGCACCAUCUUUGGAGUCUAGCUAACACAGCAUCUUGGAUGCACUCCUAAGAGAAGACUACCUGAAAGGCGUGUACACUGGUCUAGCAGUUGAGAUCAGCUAGUGUUCCAUCUAUCUUCUGUCAUGUCUUUUCUAGGUCAUCAUUCUAGGCUUUGUUGAAGCAUGCAUUUUUGGCAUGAGGGUGGCAGCCUUUGCACUAUGUGCAUGGCUGAGGAGUUAGGAUCUGGAGGGUGAUGAAAGCAAAGGUGCUGCUGGUUACUCUUGGUUCAUCUAGCAAUAGAUGAUCUGAAUGUUAGAGUUCGCCAAAUAUUGUUCCUGGGCAGUCUUUGCUCUACCAAAUCAACUUUCUCCAUGGGGGAGCUAGAAGUCACCCCACAUUCUCCGCCAUGGCCAGCUCUACAUUCUAAGAGAACCAAUGGCUCUACCCAACAUAUUCUUCUCACCACAGAUGACAAAGACACAAGGAGCCAAGACAGAUCAUUCAAGCAUAUUCAUUGCCUCUAUCUUCAUCCCAUUAAAUAACAUCCCGCCAACCAAAGCAAGUUAUCUGCAUAAGAAUAAAUAUUCCACCUACUC